AAGAACGGAUAACGCAACCCUGCCAUCUGUACGCAAUAGAAUUUGUUCAUCUGUAAAGAGAAACGAAAUUUGCAGGAAAAUGGAUCAAACUGGAAAGCAUCACACGCGUGAGACUAGAGAUCCUCAGUGGUGAGAAGCCCACCAAUCCCAUGGUGCAUCUGAGUUGGCGGGAUGAAGGGCAGGAUCUCUGGUUGAGACGGGAGCCAGAGCUGCGGCCUUAUCCCCAGUGUAGAGGGGAGCUGGUCCAGGCCUGUCACCCUCCUUCAUACACAUGCUCAUCCCACAGAGCGUCCAUGGUCAAGCUGCUCGCUCUCCAGCCAAGUGCUAGCACCUGCCCGCGGGGACAGUUACCUGCUGAGAAAGGCCUUCCUGGUCGGCCACUGGUCCAGGAUGAGCUAAGGGUCCUGUGCUAUGGUGCCUGUCAGCUGAGAGCGGGGCCUCUCUGCUCUGACCCCUGGAUUCUUCCUCUUCUAGUGCCUGGUGCAGUCAGCCCCAGGAAACAUGCAGUGAACAAAUGGAGUCACAGCUGGGGACCAUGGGUGACAGAGUGCUGGGGACCGUGGGUGACAGAGUGCUGGGGACCGUGGGUGACAGAGUGCUGGGGACCGUGGGUGACAGAGUACUGGGGACCGUGGGUGACAGAGUACUGGGGACUGGGUGACAGAGUACUGGGGACCGUGGGUGACAGAGUACUGGGGACCGUGGGUGACAGAGUACUGGGGAGUGUGGGUGACAGAGUGCUGGGGACUGUGGGUGACAGAGUACUGGGGACUGGGUGACAGAGUACUGGGGACUGUGGGUGACAGAGUACUGGGGACCGUAGCAGUCCAAGAGAAAUCAGCCUCUCUUGUCAGCAGUGAGCAUUUAAUAGAGGAUUUGGAAAGUGAGGAAAAAAUGAGAAGAAAAAAUUCAUCUCUACUCCCUUGGAGAUAACUCAAAACUAAUGUUUUGGCAUAAAUCUCUCUCUCCAGUCUCUUUAAUACCUGUUUUAAUGUAAUUGAUCCAUGUCUAUAAUGUUGCCAUUCCAAUAUUCACAAUAUAAUGUAUUUUCCUACAUAAUAAAAAGUUGGUUUCAAAGCUAUUUCUACAAUCUGCAUACUUCA